AAUAGAUACCCCGGUAGUCCACGCCGUAAACGAUGUCGACUUGGAGGUUGUUCCCUUGAGGAGUGGCUUCCGGAGCUAACGCGUUAAGUCGACCGCCUGGGGAGUACGGCCGCAAGGUUAAAACUCAAAUGAAUUGACGGGGGCCCGCACAAGCGGUGGAGCAUGUGGUUUAAUUCGAUGCAACGCGAAGAACCUUACCUACUCUUGACAUCCAGAGAACUUAGCAGAGAUGCUUUGGUGCCUUCGGGAACUCUGAGACAGGUGCUGCAUGGCUGUCGUCAGCUCGUGUUGUGAAAUGUUGGGUUAAGUCCCGCAACGAGCGCAACCCUUAUCCUUUGUUGCCAGCGGUUCGGCCGGGAACUCAAAGGAGACUGCCAGUGAUAAACUGGAGGAAGGUGGGGAUGACGUCAAGUCAUCAUGGCCCUUACGAGUAGGGCUACACACGUGCUACAAUGGCGUAUACAAAGAGAAGCGACCUCGCGAGAGCAAGCGGACCUCAUAAAGUACGUCGUAGUCCGGAUUGGAGUCUGCAACUCGA
rnacentral:rRNA from 1 species